AUUGAACGCUGGCGGCAUGCUUUACACAUGCAAGUCGAACGGUAACAGGUUAAGCUGACGAGUGGCGAACGGGUGAGUAAUGCAUCGGAACGUGCCCGAUCGUGGGGGAUAACGCAGCGAAAGCUGCGCUAAUACCGCAUACGAUCUGAGGAUGAAAGCGGGGGACCGUAAGGCCUCGCGCGAUCGGAGCGGCCGAUGUCAGAGGAGGUAGUUGGUGAGGGAAAGGCUCACCAAGCCAACGAUCGUUAGCUGGUCUGAGAGGACGACCAGCAGAAUGGGGCAUGAGCCACGGCCCAGACGCCUAAGGGAGGCAGCAGUUGGGAAUUUUGGACAAUGGGCGAAAGCCUGAUCCAGCAAUGCAGCGUGCAGGAAGAAGGCCUUCGGGUUGUAAACUGCUUUUGUACGGAGCGAAAAGGCUCUCUCUCAUACAGGGGGCUCAUGACGGUACCGUAAGAAUAAGCACCGGCUAACUACGUGCCAGCCGCCGCCGUAC
rnacentral:rRNA from 1 species